AAAAAGCAUUAUAUAUAUUUUUUGAGUCUUAUUGAAUCUUUUUUUUCUUUUUACAGGUUAAUUUCCCUUGGAAAAGUAUUGAUGAUCAAGUGAUGCUAGCAGCAACAGUGUUAAAGGCUUUAACGCUUUUAAAGGCCCUGAUUAGGUUAUUGACAUUGGCCACAUCAGUGUCACAGAGUUUCUUCACAGCCUGUUUGAUCUGGCACUUGUUGGCUUUGGCAUCCACAGUGAACACAAGCAUGUGGUUGUCUUCUGUCUUCAUGGUGGACUCGGCAGUUGGGAGCCUGACGAUGGAUGGCAUGAUGGUCAAGCUUGUUUCUCCUGGGGGUGCUCUUCUGAAGACAUUUGAGCUGCCUCUGGAAGCACAGUGUCUUGGGUCCCAGAAGGAAACUCCAAGGAACAGAGGAGCUCAGAGAAGACUAGAACUCUGUAUUCCGUACCCGUAAACAAUUUGUAUAAGCAAAAUAAAACUUUUUAACUUUCCUCAUCCCAAUCUGCAUUAUAUUUCCCUCUGGCCAUUUUGCCACAUGGCCUAGGAGUUGGGGCUGAGUAAAUGCCAGCUCAGGAAUGUGUCCUAGACUUCCCAUGAGGGGAGGGCAGUAAAGACAUGAUGCCAGUGCUGUUGGUUUCCUUCCCUCCUGGGAUAGAGCUUGAGGGAAGAGACAAGCAAGGUGGAAGAAAUAUUGCCAUAAGCAGCGUGAGCAUUUGGUCAUAGAGGGAAGAGCCAAGGGACAGUCACAGACCCCAAAGGACACCCCAUGCUCUGCCUAUUGCCACCCCAACAGAGCAUGGCCAUGGCCGUAAUAAAGAGGAGGCUGAGUGUGGGACGUUAAGAAGAGAGAGGGCCUGAGGUGGUACUUGUGUGUCUCUUUAGAGCCCAUGAACUAGUUAUCCAGAAGAUCUUUAUGCAGCCAAACAACAACAACAUGGAAAUCAGAGGUCCCAGAGGACGUCCCAAGGGGGCAGAGAGGAGCAAAGCAGGAAACCAGCGGAAAACCUACCACGGGGCCAUCUAGGCAUGGGGCACGGUGCCCUGAUGCUGGGGUGAGUGAAGUAAACCAAGACAUGGACAGAGGAUGGCAGGGGGCUACCAGGACCGCUGGCCUCAGGAGAACCAAGGUGGGACUAAGUCACCCAGAAAGGACAUGGGGCCUGCAGAUAGACUGGGUGUGUACCGACUGCCGCAGACACAAAGAGGAAGCUACGGUGGUGGUCCACCGUAGCAAUGGAGGAACCACGGAGAGCUCCAGGACAUGGAUGUACGUGGGAACUAAGCCUUCUUCCCACUGCUGUCACAAGGCCACUGGGGCUACCAAGGAUGCCUAGAUGCCAUCUGGAAAAAGAAUAGGAGGAAGGAGAAUAAAUAGACUGGGCAAGCAAGUGGGAUACUGCAAGGACUAUUUAGUUCAGAAGGAACUAAAAUGCCAUUAAGAGGUAAGUGGUGAGUUUAAGUCUUAUCUCCUCUCC
rnacentral:lncRNA from 1 species